UACGGGGGGGGCAAGCGUUGUUCGGAAUUACUGGCGUAAAGGGCUCGUAGGCGGCCAACUAAGUCAGACGUGAAAUCCCUCGGCUUAACCGGGGAACUGCGUCUGAUACUGGAUGGCUUGAGUUUGGGAGAGGGAUGCGGAAUUCCAGGUGUAGCGGUGAAAUGCGUAGAUAUCUGGAGGAACACCAAUGGCGAAGGCAGCUCGCUGGGACGGUACUGACGCUGAGACGGCGAAAAGCGUGGGGAGCAAACAGGG
rnacentral:rRNA from 1 species